rnacentral:rRNA from 1 species
AGAGUUUGAUCAUGGCUCAGGACGAACGCUGGCGGCGUGCUUAGCACAUGCAAGUCGAACGAUGAAGCUGGAGCUUGCUCCGGUGGAUUAGUGGCGAACGGGUGAGUAACACGUGAGAAAUCUGCCCCUGACUCUGGGAUAACUGCGGGAAACUGUAGCUAAUACCGGAUACUUUCCCUGGUGGGCAUCCACUGGGGAAGAAAGAAUUUCGGUCAGGGAGGAUCUCGCGGCCUAUCAGCUAGUUGGUGAGGUAACGGCUCACCAAGGCGACGACGGGUAACCGGCCUGAGAGGGUGACCGGUCACACUGGGACUGAGACACGGCCCAGACUCCUACGGGAGGCAGCAGUGGGGAAUAUUGCACAAUGGGCGCAAGCCUGAUGCAGCAACGCCGCGUGAGGGAUGAAGGCCUUCGGGUUGUAAACCUCUUUUAGCAGGGAAGAAGCGAAAGUGACGGUACCUGCAGAAAAAGCACCGGCUAACUACGUGCCAGCAGCCGCGGUAAU